rnacentral:rRNA from 1 species
UACGUAGGGUGCAAGCGUUGUCCGGAAUUAUUGGGCGUAAAGAGCUCGUAGGCGGUUUGUCGCGUCUGCUGUGAAAACCCGAGGCUCAACCUCGGGCCUGCAGUGGGUACGGGCAGACUAGAGCUGCGGUAGGGGAGAUUGGAAUUCCUGGUGUAGCGGUGAAAUGCGCAGAUAUCAGGAGGAACACCGAUGGCGAAGGCAGGUCUCUGGGCAUUAACUGACGCUGAGGAGCGAAAGCAUGGGGAGCGAACAGG